GCCUCGCCUCGCCUCGCCUCAGGUGCUGACAACAACAAGCUCUCUCGCUGCCCGCGCCCAGAUGCACAGCUGAACCUGGAAGGGCUGAUUCAGAUUAGAUUCUAUUCUGGUGUAAUUCUCUACGUAUUCACAGUUGAAAGCAUACCGGCACAGAGCGUUGUUGGGUCCAUGACGGUCACAGCAAUCAAAAAAUGGACUAGUCCACCAGAAAGGAAGUACAAGGUGGAGACAGAGGACACAUGGGAGUUUAAAAAAAAAAAGAUAUCUCCUGGCUGUAUUUCAGCACUCAAAACCAGGUGAAUUUGACUUUAGA